UGGGGAAUUUUCCGCAAUGGGCGAAAGCCUGACGGAGCAAGACCGCGUGAGGGAGGAAGGCUCUUGGGUUGUAAACCUCUUUUCUUGGGGAAGAACAAAAUGACGGUACCCAAGGAAUCAGCAUCGGCUAACUCCGUGCCAGCAGCCGCGGUAAUACGGAGGAUGCAAGCGUUAUCCGGAAUUAUUGGGCGUAAAGCGUCCGCAGGUGGCACUUCAAGUCUGCUGUCAAAGACCGGGGCUUAACCCUGGAGAGGCAGUGGAAACUGAAGCGCUAGAGUGUCGUAGGGGUAGAGGGAAUUCCUGGUGUAGCGGUGAAAUGCGUAGAGAUCAGGAAGAACAUCGGUGGCGAAAGCGCUCUACUGGACGACAACUGACACUCAGGGACGAAAGCUAGGGGAGCGAAUG
rnacentral:rRNA from 1 species